UGCGGAGGAUGCAAGCGUUAUCCGGAAUGAUUGGGCGUAAAGCGUCCGCAGGUGGCAGUUCAAGUCUGCUGUCAAAGACCGGGGCUUAACUUCGGAAAGGCAGUGGAAACUGAACAGCUAGAGUAUGGUAGGGGCAGAGGGAAUUCCUGGUGUAGCGGUGAAAUGCGUAGAGAUCAGGAAGAACAUCGGUGGCGAAGGCGCUCUGCUGGACCAUAACUGACACUCAGGGACGAAAGCUAGGGGAGCGAAUGGG
rnacentral:rRNA from 1 species